UACGUAGGUGGCAAGCGUUGUCCGGAAUUAUUGGGCGUAAAGCGCGCGCAGGUGGUUUCUUAAGUCUGAUGUGAAAGCCCACGGCUCAACCGUGGAGGGUCAUUGGAAACUGGGGAACUUGAGUGCAGAAGUGGAAAGUGGAAUUCCAAGUGUAGCGGUGAAAUGCGUAGAGAUUUGGAGGAACACCAGUGGCGAAGGCGACUUUCUGGUCUGUAACUGACACUGAGGCGCGAAAGCGUGGGGAGCGAACAGG
rnacentral:rRNA from 1 species